GACGAACGCUGGCGGCGUGCUUAACACAUGCAAGUCGAACGGAAAGGCCCUGCUUUUGUGGGGUGCUCGAGUGGCGAACGGGUGAGUAACACGUGAGUAACCUGCCCUUGACUUUGGGAUAACUUCAGGAAACUGGGGCUAAUACCGGAUAGGAGCUCCUGCUGCAUGGUGGGGGUUGGAAAGUUUCGGCGGUUGGGAUGGACUCGCGGCUUAUCAGCUUGUUGGUGGGGUAGUGGCUUACCAAGGCUUUGACGGGUAGCCGGCCUGAGAGGGUGACCGGCCACAUUGGGACUGAGAUACGGCCCAGACUCCUACGGGAGGCAGCAGGGGGGAAUAUUGCACAAUGGGCGGAAGCCUGAUGCAGCAACGCCGCGUGCGGGAUGACGGCCUUCGGGUUGUAAACCGCUUUCGCCUGUGACGAAGCGUGAGUGACGGUAAUGGGUAAAGAAGCACCGGCUAACUACGUG
rnacentral:rRNA from 1 species